AAGUCGUAACAAGGUUUCCGUAGGUGAACCUGCGGAAGGAUCAUUACAGUAGUCGCCCGGGUUGCCGCAAGGCCUCCCGGGUAACCUACCACCCUUUGUUUAUUACACUUUGUUGCUUUGGCAAGCCUGCCCUCGGGCUGCUGGCUCCGGCCGGCGAGCGCUUGCCAGAGGACCUAAACUCUGUUUGUUUAUACUGUCUGAGUACUAUAUAAUAGUUAAAACUUUCAACAACGGAUCUCUUGGUUCUG
rnacentral:misc_RNA from 1 species